AUGCUUGAACUUACCCUGAAGAGCAGCAAAGCAAACACCUCCCUGCCACCCUCCAAGGGCUCUGCUUGCACACUCCUGGCAGCUUUGCACUUGCUCUUCAUAGCGGCACUAAGAAAGGCAACAAGGGAAAAGACCACGACCAAGCAGCUCUUGUCUGGCAACAAGAAGGGGUCACUGUUAUCCAUUUUGGUAUUACUGGAAGUUCCUCCUCCACUCCAAAUAAUCAGAACUUGGAAAAAAACCCAAAAAACCAACUUCAUUCUUGGAGAAAGGGCAAUGAAAGAUACUGCUCAAACCCAAAGUAAAGAAGUUUCUCCUUGCCAAGACUCUGCAGAAGUGCUCCAGAGAUGCCGGACACCCAUGUGCCGAGCGGCCCCCGCCCGCGCCGGGCGUGAG
rnacentral:lncRNA from 1 species